GUUUUAAUUAUGUUUUAUUUAUGUAAUUUACGUUUUAUUGAAUUAAAUGUAUAGUUUUCAUUAUUCAAUUAUGAAUUUUUGAUUUAUAUGUUUUAUGUAAUUUAAUUAUUAAAUUUCAGAUUACAUAAUUUGAUUAAAAUAAGAGUUUGAAUUAUUUAAAGCAUGAAUUCUAAGUUUUUAAUGGUUUUAAAUCAUGGUAGAAUGAUUACGAAUUAUUAAAACUAUUAAUUUAUGUUCUAAGCAUGAUAAUUUGGUUUUGGGGAAAACUUUAAAUGAUUUCAUAUUGCUAGAAAUUUAAAGAACGGUGUUUUAUAGAGUUUUCAAUGAAUUUCAAUCAUUAAUUCAAUAAAUAUUAUGCUAGGAGAUUAAAUAUCCCAUUUUUGAUAUUGGGGAAGGUUCUAAAUAUGUUUAGGAUGUAUUUAGAGUACUUUAUUAUUGUUGUGAAUUAUUGGAAGUUGAUUGAGAAUCUUUAUUUGUUAUUUUAGCCGGAGAAUUCUCUAUAGGCGACUUUUUAAAUAGUUAAAGUGGCCUAUCAAUUUGUUUACACAAGGUAUAUACAUACAUACUUGUGUGUUUGUGGAUGUGUGCUAUUAUUGAAACCAUGUUGAAUAUGUCGAUGGACUUGGUUGUGUUGAAAUUUACAUGUUUAAUGUCGUUGGAUGAACAUGUUGAACAUAGAGUUUAUUAUGAGAAUUGUAAUCCCCCGUAAAUUUAUAAAUUUUAUUAAUACGGAGUAUAUUUUAACGUAUAGUUAUUUAUAUUUAAAUAGAAUUUGCGAAUUUUAGUAAUAAAUAUAUAAUUAACGCAUAUUUAUUUUAUUUAAUUACGUCCUAAAUAUUUAACGAUUUAUGAAAUCAAAAAUAAUUUUAGAAUUUUAAUUACGAAAAAACGUGUGAAUUUGGAAGACAAUCCUAAUCGGUUUUUGAUUCAAAUACUAAAACUAAAUCAUAAUCCUAGCCCAAAUUGGCCCAAAUUGGUGAAACCCAAAACAAAUAAACCCAUAAUGCCCAUUACUUGUUUCAACGUAAAACCCAAGCAUCAAAUUCACGUGAAUUGCAAAAACCUCAAACACCUCUAUCUUCUUGUUGUUUCUCACGCUGCCACCAGCCACCGACAACCACCACCGGUAACUCCUCCAUCUUCCCCCUCUCCUUCGUUCUUUCUUUCUCUUUUUCGUUCCUCUCUCCUUAAUCAAUGGCUCUGUUCUGCUUGCCUCUGUUGCUCGACAGCUACACCUAACGCACGCAACCACCACCACCACCUGGUCGUUGCGGGUGUGCCCCCUUGCCGCGCCGCCUUGCUGCACCGCAUGACAGCCAUCGCUGCCGCCCUACCGGCCAGCUUCCUCCUUCCUCUUUUCUUGCUUCUUUAUUCGCACACCACCACUACCAACUCACGCAGCCAACGUUGUUGCCACCGCCGGCCACCUUGCGCCAGUCAACAACUUGCCUUGUUGCCGCCGUCCCUGAGCGCCGGCCAGUCUCUUUAACCCUAAAACUAUUCAAUGUUUUAAUUUUGUUUUAGUAAUUUAAUUAAUUAAUGUUUUCAUGCUUUAAAUUUAUGGUUUUAAUUAUGUUAAUUUAGAAAUCAGAUUAUAUGCUUUGCAUAAUGAAAUUAUUAAUUUUCAGAUUGUAUAAUUUGAUUAAAAUAGGGGUUUUAAUUAUUAAAGCAUGAAUUUUUAAGGUUUUAAUAGUUUUGAAAUCAUGGUAGGAUGAUUAUAAGUUAUUAAAGUUAUUUUUUUUUAUGAUUUCAAAUAUGUUAAUUAUGUUUUGGAGUAGUUUGAAAUUAGUUUAUGUUGCUGGAAAUUGCAAAGGGCCUGUUAUAUUGGAGUUUAUGAUAAAUUGUGAUUAUUAGUGUAAUCCCCCAUAAAUUUAUAAAUUUUAUUAAUAUAUUUUAACGUAUAUUAUUUAUAUUUAAAUAGAAUUUAUGAAUUUUAAGUAAUGAAUAUAUAAUUAACGUAUAUUUAUUUUAUUUUAAGUGCGUUCUAAAUAUUUAACGAUUUUUGAACUUUAUUAUAUUUAUAUAUUUAAUGUAUAUUUAAUUUCAUUUAAAUAUAUUCUAAAUAUUUUAACGGUUUGCGCAAUCAAGAAUAAUUUUAGAACUUUAUGUUGAAAAGAAUUUGAAUUAGGAAAACUCGUUGAAUUCGGAAAAACAAUCCUAUUCAAUUUGACUGAAACACUAAAACCCAAAUCCUAAUUCUAGGCCCAAUUGGGUAAAGUCCAAAUCAAUAAACCCAAAAUGAUCCUCCUUCCUCUUUUCUAAUUCACGUGAAAACCAAAACAGGAAAACUAUUUCCAAACCCUCCAUUCACGUAACUGCUCCUCAACCUCUCUGCCUUUCUCUCCACGAUGUUGUCCCAGCCGCCGUCGUGACUCAGCCACCUGCGACCACCAGUGUUCGUCGCCGCCGCAACAUCGCGAGUUCUUCCUCGCCGCCAGCACAACCGCCGCGAAAGCUUCCGUCGCCUGUCCUCCGACCACACGCCGCCACCACCUCGCUGCCGCCGGUGCGCCGCCGCGUGCCGCCCAGCCGCACCCUUGUCGCCAGCAACUCUCUCCUCUCCUUUUGGCGGAGAAUUCUUUGUGGGAGACUUUUGAAUUCGUUAAAGUGGCCUAGCAGUUUGUCUACACAAGUCUCUAAGGAUCAAUAAGCAUUGUCCAUCUGCAGGUUUGAAGAUGAUGCAUCAUUGGGAUCGGGAUUAGAGAGCUUGUAUUUAGUUUUGUUUUGCUAAGUGACUUGGUUUGUUAAUUUGGAUUUUAAACUUGUCGUACUAUUUAUAUUUCCUUAUUUUCGUUGGUUGGUUUUUGGGAUUAAAUCUGUAAUCGAUUAUUUAUAAACCUAAAGUUAGUUUUAUGUUUUCCGCUGCAAAAUUCUGA